CGCCCAGGCCCCCGAGCAGCCGCAGGACCUCCUGCACGGCCCCCUCCUCCUGAUGCCACCGAGCAGUCAGCGAGGACACCUCCCUCCUGGAGGAGCCGAGCUAUCAUGUCUUAAGCAGCCACUCAUGGAGAGGCCCAGGAACUGAGGCCUCCAACCAAGAUCCUUGUGAGUGUGCCAUCUUGGAAGCAUGACCUCCAGCCCCAGUCAAGCCUUCAGAUGACUGCAGCCCCUCCCCAAAUCAUGACUGCAACCUCAUGAGAGACCCUGAUCCAGAACCAGCCAACUAGGCCACUCCAGCACCCACGGUGGGACUUCUGCUCUGUUGGAGGCAGUGCUGGGCACUAGGACCAUCCCUGACAGGAUCCGACAAACCCACCCGUGGAAUGACACAGCCUUCUUUUUCUUCGCAUUCCCCUUGGCUGGGCUGGUCACCCCCCCAGGA